GGCUGGGCAGACACCUGCCUUCCAGAACCCCUGGAGACCCCUGGUGGGCGAGAGCGGGUGCUCGCAGGAAGUGCUCUGAGGUACCUCUCCCCAAGUUAUUGAUAAAACGUCUUCGUCCUCCACUGUGGAAUUCCACAGGCCCUACAGGUGCUCUGACAGCCCCAGACUCCAUCAUCCAAGUCCUCAAGCCACUAAGAGUGUGGCUUCCUGAUUGAAGUCCAGCCUCUCGCACGUCGCAUACUAGGAAGUUCCCCCAGCAUUUGCGGAGAUUUCAAGAGUUGUGACAACGAGGAGGCCAGAUGGUGACAGUGGUAAAACGCGACACUCUGUGAGGCUGACCUGCAGGGACGGCGGCCUGUUCCCAUCUGGAGACCUCCCUGAUUACACCCACCACACGCGCGUCCGAGCUCUGUGCUGGCGAAGCUGGGGGCGGAUCGCGGAAUUGGGCCCCUAUCGGAGUGUCUGUUUCCUUCUGUCUCUCUUUCCGUCUCUCUCCCUCAUGAAAUAAUAAUCCUACUA